GCCCGGUUAGCUCAGUUGGUAGAGCACGAGACUCAGUCUCUUGGGGGUUGUGGGUUUGAGUCCCACUCUGGGCA